AUUUGUCUGGUUAAUUCCGAUAACGAACGAGACCUUAACCUGCUAACUAGAUUCUUUUGUUUUACAAAAGUUAUCUUCUUAGAGGGACUAUGUAAAUCAAUUACAUGGAAGUUUGAGGCAAUAACAGGUCAGUGAUGCCCUUAUAUGUCCUGGGCUGCACGCGUGCUACACUGAUGCAUACAACAAGUGCCUAACCAGAUAUGGUAUGGCAAUCUCGAAUAUGCAUCGUGAUGGGGAUAGAUCUUUGCAAUUAUAGAUCUUGAACGAGGAAUUCCUAGUAAGUGCAAGUCAUCAUCUUGCAUUGAUUAUGUCCCUGCCCUUUGUACACACCGCCCGUCGCUCCUACCGAUACCGGGUGAUCCGGUGAACCUUUUGGACCUUUACGGGGAAGAUAAGUAAACCAUAUCACCUAGAGGAAGGAGAAGUCGUAACAAGGUUUCCGUAGGUGAACCUGCRGAAGGAUCA
rnacentral:rRNA from 1 species